AUCACGCGAUAAACAUUUCCGCCAUUUUAUUUUACACGAGGCAGCUGUUGGAGAGCAACGGGUGAGCAACAGUCUGAGUGAAAACCUUCACAUUUCUACUUCGAUCUUAGGAAAGCCAUACAGGUUUGGAACCAAGUGAAAACGCAGUGAUGACCAGCUUUCCAUCAGCUACGGAAUGUGAAAUAAAAAAUGCUAUUUCUAAUCAUUUCAAACAAGCACCAGGGUGGGCAGGGGGUGGGGGUUAUGGAUCUAAAGUAAACAGUUAAUUCUUAAAAAUUUUAAUAUCUUAAUUUGUUUUACAUAUUUUUCCAAUGUUUUAUUUGUUCAUUUUUAUGUUUGAAUGUUGUCCAAGUUGUUGUUGUCUAUAUAAUUGUUCAAAAUAAAUCCCUUUAUAUUCAA